GGUCUAUUGCGUGCAUGCUUAUGUGUGCGUGCAGAUCAACUGGAAAAAGUCCGUCAGGGUCGCUGCAAAUUUUUUUCCACUGGAGCCAAAGUCGCAUUCCUGUUAACGAUUACUCCGCUAAUUGCAGAAUUUAUGAAUUUCUUGUACACGAAUUUCGGGGCUGCUAUAAACAACAAGGGCUCGAGUCGAAAAAGUUGGCCUGAACUUCUCAAUGAAUUUUUCCACCUUGUCAACGUAUGAAGAGUAUCAGCAUCUUUUGCACCUAAUAAAUUAAUUUUUCCGGAAUGGAAAAUCAUCGCCGUACAACCUCGAAGCCGGACCCGCAUGGCCGGAAAUAAUUCAGUUUCCGGCAAUAAUGAUGCAAUAACGCAAGAGCAUCACUGAUGGACUUUGCACCAUUAACUGUGAUCUUGCCGUUGCGGUACACUUGGCAGUGCGAUUUCUGCGGACGAAUGGAACGGAGAAGAAGCCCAGAAUAUUUGUGUGGUGCAUAAUGAGAAAGCGGAGCGCGCUCG